ACUAUUGGAAACGAUAGCUAAGACCGCAUAGGUACGGACACUGCAUGGUGACCGUAUUAAAAGUAGCCUCAAAGCACUGGUAGAGGAUGGACUUAUGGCGCAUUAGCUGGUUGGCGGGGUAACGGCCCACCAAGGCGACGAUGCGUAGCCGACCUGAGAGGGUGACCGGCCACACUGGGACUGAGACACGGCCCAGACUCCUACGGGAGGCAGCAUG
rnacentral:rRNA from 1 species